UGGGUUGUUCGGUUUCGCGCAUGAUUUGAUUUAUGCAAACAAUCACCAGGAAAUAUGGGUCUAGUCCACUUGCCUAGGCCCAUAAUUGGAAACCCCAGCAGGUUGUGUUGAACAGUGUGGCAUUGGGUAGUCUAAUUUGUCCAUCAGGCAGUGAUAUGGUUAACACUAGAUUUGGGCCUUGAUGUUUCAGAGUUAUUCGGUUUUUAAAUAAUUUAACUUCUUCACUAUCUCCCGGGGGCCAAUAAUUUCCUUGUUGUGUAGUGACCAGAGUGUCCCAAUUCCCCUGUACUGGAUGGCCUUUGAGGUACCACCAGUAAUUUGGCCAGUCUUUUCCCGUGGUGGGAUGUCCAAGUCGGAAUCCUUUUAAGCUUCUUAUAGGAAGUAGUAUUGUAGAGGUGGUAUUGGGAGCUACCGUAAACAUCAAUGAUUUGUUGUAGGCCCACGACACUAUCCAUGGGACACAGGUUGUUAUAUUUGGACCUAGGUUUAGGAUCCGAUCAAUCGAACAGACGGCAUAAUCUUUUUUUUUUUUGCCUUAGCAUUUUCUGUUGGGGGUUUAAUGCGUCUGUACCUGUGAGUAUAGUCUGCCCCCUGGAUAUUUAGCUCGGUCGAUGUGUUGCACUUUCAAAACAAAAUCAUGUAUACCUCUGCGGUAUAUUUCUCCAAAAAUUAAGUAAUGAAGAGGCACAUUUCCCCCAAUACUACACAUAUGUAUGUGAUGUGUUGUGAAGUGCCUCCCUCUUUGGGAUUAGGCCCCGCCUCCUCAGCCACCAAGUCAGAGUGCACGCAGCACAGGAGUGCAAACAUGAAGCGUGCAUUGGUGUGUGUGCUGAUGGCUGCCUGGAGCCUUGGAUGUGGCAGCCAGACGGUGCACCAGCCAGCAGAGAAUGUGUACACCAUGAAAGGUGACUCAGUGACGCUGGACUGCAGCUAUGAAAAUUCUGGAGGCAACGACUACAUCUUCUGGUACAAACAGGACGGGCAGGUGGCACUAAAUUUCAUACUGAGCCUCUCCAUCAGGAGUGAAGGCAAGAUUGAAAGCAGCUUUGAAAAGAGGUUCAGCUGCAGCAUCAAUGACACCGCCAAGCGAGCUCCUCUGAAGAUCCAAGACGUGCAGCUGAGCGACUCUGCAGUCUUCUACUGCGCCAUGCAGCCCACAAUGAUUGACAUCUCUGCUGCACCCGAACAAAAACCUCUGUGGGCUUCUCAUCCCACUGUGGCUGUUUGAGAGGCUGGUUCUGAGGAGGUUUUCACACCUUUUGUCAUCUUCAGGACAUCACAGGGGUGGCGAACUGGAGCUGUAUUUUGCUUUUCACCAGACUCCAAAAGUUUUCUGGGGUUAACUGUUAAUUUCUACAUCUGUGAUGAUGGACCCGAGUGGUAAAAUAUUGAAAUCUAAUAAAAUUGUUGUUUAAAACCAAUAUAAAUAUUAAGAAAUCCAAUGUAGUGAGAGCAGCUGUCCCAAAAUAAGGAAAGAUGAUUAUACUGGUUCGCAAUUUAUUAGAAUACAAUUAAAAACCAGUCACUUUG